GAUGUUGAACACUUUCUGACUCAACAGUUAGCUAUUAAAGUUCAGUGUGUGUGAGUUCAAAAAGUGUAAAAAUCAAGUUAUUUUUGCAAAUAAAUUACACACUUCACCUUUACCGCAGGUAGUUCACUAUGAGGGGCACUUGUACCAUUUCAGUGAGACAUACAGUACAGAGUGUAUAAAACAAUAGUGAUAAAUGAACUCAUAUACACACGCACUUAUUCACUGUCACACACACACACACACACACACACACACACACACACACACACACACACACAGAUCGAUGCAUGUGAUCAGUGAGGACAGAUGUUUUCUAUUUCAAAAGGCAGUACAAUACUUACAAACCCUUAUUCAAAUAAAUAACA